GGGGAUAUAAUUCAGUGGCAUAAGCACCUGCCUGGUAAGCACGAGGUCAUGAGUUCAAUCCCUGUUACCCCCC
rnacentral:tRNA from 1 species